UCGAGUACCCACCUGCUGGAGCU
rnacentral:siRNA from 1 species